rnacentral:lncRNA from 1 species
CCACCAGCGCCACAAGGCCCACUGUCUGGAUGUCCAGCUUGUUCACCAAGCCCUUCAGGUCGAACGAAUUCACCAAGCUCCUCAGGUCCACGUUGCGAAGACCUUGCUGUAGCUGGUACACGAUGGGGGCGACAGCGUGGGCGGCCAUUGUAC